GCAGGCAGACUGUUUGUCCAUGAGUGGGCUCACCUCCGGUGGGGAGAAUUUGAUGAAUACAAUGAAGAUCAGCCUUUCUACAGCGCUAAGCCAAAAAAAAUUGAAGCAACAAGGUGUUCCACAGGCAUCUCUGGUAUAAAUAGAGUUUAUAAGUGUCAAGGAGGCAGCUGUCUUAUUAGAAUGUGCAGAGUUGAUUCUACAACAAAACUAUAUGAAAAAGAUUGUCAAUUCUUUCCUGAUAAAGUGCAAACAGAAGAAGCAUCCAUAAUGUUUAUGCAAAGUAUUGAUUCUGUUGUUGAAUUCUAUAAUGAAAAAAACCAUAAUCAAGAAGCUCCAAGCCUACAAAACAUAAAGUGCAAUUUUAGAAGUACAUGGGAGGUGAUCAGCAAUUCUGAGGGUUUUAAAAACACAACACUCAUGGUGACACCACCUUCUCCACCUGUCUUCUCAUUGCUGACGAUCAAAGAAUUGUGUGCUUACUUCUUCAUAAGUCUGUAAGCAUGGCGAGCUAUAACCGCCUGAAUCGAAUGAAUCAAGCAGCAAUACAAUUCCUGCUGCAGACUGUUGAAAAUGGAUCCUGGGUGGGGAUGGUUCACUUUGAUAGUACUGCCACUAUUAUAAAUAAGCUAAUCCAAAUAAUAAGCAGCCAUGAAAGAAAUACACUCUGGAAAAGUUACCUACAUAUGCUCAGGGAGGAAAUUCCAUCUGCUCUGGAAUUAAAUCUGCAUUUCUGAAAUCUUCACUGUCUAAAGGGACAGAUUCAAGAUGGCCAAUUAGGAGUAGCUCAGGAUUGCAGCUCCCAGCGAAAGUGCGGAGGGUGAGUGGAUGCCGCAUUUCCAGAUGGAUUUUUAUUGCCCACAGACCAGGAGAUUCCCAGGUGGAGGAGCCCCACAGGUUGCCAGCGCGGCUGUCUUGGCCGGCGCACCUAUUUUGGCCAGCGCGGCUGUUUAGGCGCUGCGGUUCUCCGCACAAAAUAGACAGGUUCGGGCGCUGUUUUAGCUGGCGAUUGGAGCUCCUAGG